GAUGAGCGCUGGCGGCGUGCCUAAUACAUGCAAGUCGAGCGAACAGACGAGGAGCUUGCUCCUCUGACGUUAGCGGCGGACGGGUGAGUAACACGUGGAUAACCUACCUAUAAGACUGGGAUAACUUCGGGAAACCGGAGCUAAUACCGGAUAAUAUAUUGAACCGCAUGGUUCAAUAGUGGAAGACGGUUUUGCUGUCACUUAUUGAUGGAUCCGCGCCGCAUUAGCUAGUUGGUAAGGUAACGGCUUACCAAGGCAACGAUGCGUAGCCGACCUGAGAGGGUGAUCGGCCACACUGGAACUGAGACACGGUCCAGACUCCUACGGGAGGCAGCAGUAGGGAAUCUUCCGCAAUGGGCGAAAGCUUGACGGAGCAACGCCGCGUGAGUGAUGAAGGUCUUCGGAUCGUAAAACUCUGUUAUUAGGGAAGAACAAAUGUGUAAGUAACUAUGCACGUCUUGACGGUACCUAAUCAGAAAGCCACGGCUAACUACGUG
rnacentral:rRNA from 1 species